rnacentral:rRNA from 1 species
GAACGGUAGCACACAGAGCUUGCUCUCGGGUGACGAGUGGCGGACGGGUGAGUAAUGUCUGGGAAACUGCCUGAUGGAGGGGGAUAACUACUGGAAACGGUAGCUAAUACCGCAUAACGUCGCAAGACCAAAGUGGGGGACCUUCGGGCCUCAUGCCAUCAGAUGUGCCCAGAUGGGAUUAGCUAGUAGGUGGGGUAACGGCUCACCUAGGCGACGAUCCCUAGCUGGUCUGAGAGGAUGACCAGCCACACUGGAACUGAGACACGGUCCAGACUCCUACGGGAGGCAGCAGUGGGGAAUAUUGCACAAUGGGCGCAAGCCUGAUGCAGCCAUGCCGCGUGUAUGAAGAAGGCCUUCGGGUUGUAAAGUACUUUCAGCGAGGAGGAAGGCGUUGAGGUUAAUAACCUCAUCGAUUGACGUUACUCGCAGAAGAAGCACCGGCUAACUCCGUGCCAGCAGCCGCGGUAAUACGGAGGGUGCAAGCGUUAAUCGGAAUUACUGGGCGUAAAGCGCACGCAGGCGGUCUGUUAAGUCAGAUGUGAAAUCCCCGGGCUCAACCUGGGAACUGCAUUUGAAACUGGCAGGCUUGAGUCUUGUAGAGGGGGGUAGAAUUCCAGGUGUAGCGGUGAAAUGCGUAGAGAUCUGGAGGAAUACCGGUGGCGAAGGCGGCCCCCUGGACAAAGACUGACGCUCAGGUGCGAAAGCGUGGGGAGCAAAC